rnacentral:rRNA from 1 species
UACGAAGGGGGCUAGCGUUGCUCGGAAUUACUGGGCGUAAAGCGCACGUAGGCGGCUUCUAAGUCGGGGUGAAAUCCUGGAGCUCAACUCCAGAACUGCCUUCGAUACUGGAGAGCUCGAGUCCGGGAGAGGUGGAGUGGAACUGCGAGUGUAGAGGUGAAAUUCGUAGAUAUUCGCAAGAACACCAGUGGCGAAGGCGGCCUCACUGGCCCGGUACUGACGCUGAGGUGCGAAAGCGUGGGGAGCAA